UAAAUAUAACCAUGAGACCGAUAGUAAACAAGUACCGUGAGGGAAAGUUGAAAAGAACUCUGAAUAGAGAGUUAAAUAGUACGUGAAACUGCUUAGAGGUUAAGCCCGAUGAACCUGAAUAUCCAUUAUAGAAAAUUCAUCAUUAUGAUUUUAAUAUUUAUAAUAUUAUAAUAAUGUUGUGCACUUUUUCUAUAUAGGACAUUGUAAUCUAUUAACAUAAAUAAAUUUAUCAUAAGAUCAAGUAUGCGUAAGUUUAUUCAAAUUAUUUUGCUUGCAAUUUAACAUAGAAUAAAUGCUCUUGAUUUGAUAAAGUGUUGAUGGAUUUAUUACAUAUAGUGCUUAAAUAUUUAUAUUUUAUAGUAGCAUAUUAAUUUUUAAUUUUUAUGUUUACUAUAUGCACUUAUAUGAUUAACAAUGCGAAAGANUCAGGAUACCUUCGGGACCCGU
rnacentral:rRNA from 1 species